rnacentral:rRNA from 1 species
UGAGGAAUAUUGGUCAAUGGGCGAGAGCCUGAACCAGCCAAGUUGCGUGCAGGAUGACGGCCCUAUGGGUUGUAAACUGCUUUUAUAUGGGAAUAAAGUGAGGGACGUGUCCCUUAUUGCAUGUACCAUACGAAUAAGGACCGGCUAAUUCCGUGCCAGCAGCCGCGGUAAUACGGAAGGUCCGGGCGUUAUCCGGAUUUAUUGGGUUUAAAGGGAGAGUAGGCUGUUUGUUAAGCGUGUUGUGAAAUGUAAGAGCUCAACUUUUAGAUUGCAGCGCGAACUGGCAGACUUGAGUGCGCACAACGUAGGCGGAAUUCAUGGUGUAGCGGUGAAAUGCUUAGAUAUCAUGACGAACUCCGAUUGCGAAGGCAGCUUACGGGAGCGCAACUGACGCUAAAGCUCGAAGGUGCGGGUAUCGAACAGG